rnacentral:lncRNA from 1 species
UACUGUGCAUGGUUUCAGGAAUGAGCAUUUGCAUUUGGUAAUGGAUAGAAAAGUGACUAAAUGGGGACUGGUAUACAAAUCUCCUCAUCUCCAAAGCCUGAAGGCAGUCUAGGACAAGGUGAGGGACACCUUCUGAGAAGGGUCUGGGAUAUGAUCCAUGUAUUUCCCAUUUCUACAUUAGUUCCAUUUAUUCAUUUCACUGACCCCUGGAAGCUCCCAAGACCUGGUUAGAACCCCAAUUACAACUUGUUCCAUGGCAAAAGGAGGUUUGAAGCUGGUCCAGUGUGUGUGUGUGGUGUGUUCGUGUGUGUGUAUAUGUGUGUGUGUGUGUGUGUGUGUCUCCACUGAGUCUCACCCACAUGCCCCCCAGGACAAUAUUCACUAUUCAAAACUGCUGCUGCUGCCUGUGCCUGCUGCCAAUAUACUUUGAGGCAUGGGAAGGGCAUGGUUUUCUCAGAGCAGAUGAGGGUCCCCAGCCCUGAAGAGGAAUCCUGGCUCUGCUAUUUAUUGGCUGUAUGAUCCAGAGUACUAAGAACCACUUCGCUUCUCUGUGCCCCAGUGUGUGGUUUGAAGACAGUGCCCCCUUCAGAAUGGAGUGGGUAGAACAGUGUGUGCUCAGAGAGGUGCUGGGCAUAGUGGGAGCUCAACAUCUGUGAGACCCUUUCAACAUCCCCACACAUCACUGACCCAGACUGGGUGCCCAAGUGGCUGAAAGGCAGGCACUCAGCUUGUGACAAGACUGGGGGCAGCUGACAGGCGCUAGCCUAGCUGCCAGCUUAAGAGAGUCUAACCUUGCAGAAUACAACAGACACUAGUAUGGCAAUAUGUAAAUCAAUGGAUGUGUAACUGAUGUGAUUCUGCAAUCUGUAUACGGGGUAAAAAUGGGAGUUCAUAACCCACUUGAAUCAAAGUGUGAAAUAUGAUAUA